rnacentral:rRNA from 1 species
GACGAACGCUGGCGGCGCGCCUAACACAUGCAAGUCGAACGGAGCUGAGAGAAGCUUGCUUUUCUUAGCUUAGUGGCGAACGGGUGAGUAACGCGUGAGUAACCUGCCCUGGAGUGGGGGACAACAGUUGGAAACAACUGCUAAUACCGCAUAAGCCCACGAUCCGGCAUCGGAUUGAGGGAAAAGGAUUUAUUCGCUUCAGGAUGGACUCGCGUCCAAUUAGCUAGUUGGUGAGGUAACGGCCCACCAAGGCGACGAUUGGUAGCCGGACUGAGAGGUUGAACGGCCACAUUGGGACUGAGACACGGCCCAGACUCCUACGGGAGGCAGCAGUGGGGGAUAUUGCACAAUGGGGGAAACCCUGAUGCAGCGACGCCGCGUGGAGGAAGAAGGUUUUCGGAUUGUAAACUCCUGUCGUUAGGGACGAUAAUGACGGUACCUAACAAGAAAGCACCGGCUAACUACGUG